rnacentral:lncRNA from 1 species
UUUAGCAUCAAAUCCUUAUCUGUUUCAAUCAAAAUGGCCGGAGAUCAAGGAGUACGAUUCACCAAUCGUCAAUCUUUUCUUCUUAACCUCUAAACGUCACAAUCCAAAAUCGUUUCCGAUCUGUUCCGUUGUGUUGCACCACCACAGUUACUCGCCAUCGUGGAACUACCUAGACCGCACGUCGCCGUUUUCAACCGUCCCACACACACCAACGCCACCGCUUUGAACCCGCCGUACGGUCCGCUGUAACUACACACGCCUUCCAGCACCAUGGCGCCCGUUGCUUCGAUCUAAGAGGUUUGCAUACUUUUUGUGGAUGACUUGAUUUGUGGCUUUACUUGCUAAACUAAGUCUGAUUGUCAUGGUAAUAUGGGAUGAUCUGGGGUUUCAGUCAGGAGCGUUAGGAAGUUGCUGGCAACGACUAUUUAUUUCAGUAAUGUAAUAAAUGUGAUUAGGAUCUUUUAUUUAAUGUUAUGGAUCGG